rnacentral:rRNA from 1 species
AUGGGAGUGGGUUGCAAAAGAAGUAGGUAGCUUAACCUUCGGGAGGGCGCUUACCACUUUGUGAUUCAUGACUGGGGUGAAGUCGUAACAAGGUAACCGUAGGGGAGCCUGCGGUUGGAUCACCUCCUUACCUUAAAGAAGC